rnacentral:misc_RNA from 1 species
AUUUGUGUGGGUUCAAUUG